rnacentral:rRNA from 1 species
AUGGCAGCCGCAGCGGCGGGUGAGAACAGCAAGUUAACUGUAGUGAGAAAGACGGGGGAGGGCAAGUUCAUGGCAACGAUCAAGCACCCGGUGACGAAGACACAGUUGUGGCUGGGGACGUACUCUUCCCCCGAGGUCACCGCAUGCGCCUACGACCUCGCGGCUAGGGAGCUGAAGGGCAUAAAGGCAAAGCUCAACUUCCCCUACCCUCCGCCAGCCAGACUGGUUAAGGAGGUGAUCGCUGCACCGAGGCACCGCAGCCAUGGUCACGACACACCGCUCUUUGAAGUCGUUAUAAGGGAAUCAUGGAACAUCUCAACCAGCCCACUUGUUUCAGUAGGCAUUGUUGCUAUUUUUAUGAGUAAGGAAGUUUUCAUGUGA